GAUGAACGCUGGCGGCGUGCCUAAUACAUGCAAGUCGAGCGAACAGACGAGGAGCUUGCUCCUCUGACGUUAGCGGCGGACGGGUGAGUAACACGUGGAUAACCUACCUAUAAGGCUGGGAUAACUUCGGGAAACCGGAGCUAAUACCGGAUAAUAUAUUGAACCGCAUGGUUCAAUAGUGAAAGACGGUUUUGCUGUCACUUAUAGAUGGAUCCGCGCCGCAUUAGCUAGUUGGUAAGGUAACGGCUUACCAAGGCAACGAUGCGUAGCCGACCUGAGAGGGUGAUCGGCCACACUGGAACUGAGACACGGUCCAGACUCCUACGGGAGGCAGCAGUAGGGAAUCUUCCGCAAUGGGCGAAAGCUUGACGGAGCAACGCCGCGUGAGUGAUGAAGGUCUUCGGAUCGUAAAACUCUGUUAUUAGGGAAGAACAAAUGUGUAAGUAACUAUGCACGUCUUGACGGUACCUAAUCAGAAAGCCACGGCUAACUACG
rnacentral:rRNA from 1 species